UACGAAGGGGGCUAGCGUUGCUCGGAAUCACUGGGCGUAAAGGGUGCGUAGGCGGGUCUUUAAGUCAGGGGUGAAAUCCUGGAGCUCAACUCCAGAACUGCCUUUGAUACUGAAGAUCUUGAGUUCGGGAGAGGUGAGUGGAACUGCGAGUGUAGAGGUGAAAUUCGUAGAUAUUCGCAAGAACACCAGUGGCGAAGGCGGCUCACUGGCUCGGUACUGACGCUGAGACUCGAAAGCGUGGGGAGCAAACAGG
rnacentral:rRNA from 1 species